GAGGUUCGUUGCCCCCGCCGGGUUGCUCGGCGGAAAGCGGACGACACACCAGAACCGGAGGAGAGCUGGAGGCCUGAGCUGCCAGAAUCUGGAGAGGACUGCUUAGACCUGGAGGGGACGAAGGAAGGCGACGCAGCUGCUUCCAGGGGGACGGACGGAAACCCGUACCUGAAGCAAAAGCAGCGAGGCUGGUCGCCGUGGCAAAUGCGGCGGCGUUGGCGUGCUUCCCGUUGUGGGUAACGGGGUGCGCGGGAAGUUGAUGCAGCCCCAGCGCCACGUUCCGUGUGUCCAGGUUGCGCGAGUCCGCCCCCUGUGCGCCGCCGCCGCCGCCGUCCGCCGUCUGGAUCACCAGCUCUCGCUUCAGCUGCGCCUCUGCCCGCCACAAAAAUGCCACAUAGAACAUCAUCAUCAUCAUCAUCAUCAUCAAGAAGAAGGAGACAUUUGAUCAGCUGCAUAGCGGUUCCAAAAUAAUAAGCACAAUUCUUUGUAUUCAUAUUGUACUCGUGAUUAUGCCUCGUUAGGGGAAAAUCUUUAUUUUGAUUGCGCUACUUUUCAACAAUCUAUAUGAGAUUUCAGUGCAAAAUGAUUCUUUAAAUAAGAAUAAAAGAUAGAUGAUCCAAAAAUAAAAGCAUCCAAAAGAUUGUACUUGGGCAACGGCUAACUAAAGAAAUGUGCUUUCACAGAGCGCAAUCACGAAUUGCAACUUAAUGGAAGCAAUAACAUUAGGCUGCAAGCACCGACUUUUCAUAUGAAAAUCACCGUCCGUAUUGCGAUUUGCCGAGGACGGCUACGUCUCCGUUGUUCCGCUCGAUCGUCGGUCGGUCGUGCACGGUCGCAAACUGCAAAGAACUCGACGGUUGCGAUUUGCCUCUCUAUUGACUUCCGGCGUUUUGGGUUUUCCCGGCCGAAAAGUUCAAGUCAAGGCAGCCGCUAGCUACGACGAUUGUUAAUCGUGUCUUACCGUGACACGCCGCCUCUCCGCCACCGUGCCGACUUCAAAAUAAAAGCGUGACGUUGGACAUCGAUGCCAUUGGAAGCUUUUAUUUUGAAGUCGGCCACGAAGCCGAAUAAAGCCUUAAGCAUACGUUCUGGCUGGCUGCAUUGCGGGCACUUCUUAAAAAAACAAAAAAACAAAACAAUCGCAGACGAUGGAUGAGGCUCAUUUAACCGCAAUCGCGACUGAAAUGUGAAUUCUCCGUAGAAUAAAGUCAGAUUUUGUUGGACAUAAAACUCGCAGUUGCAUAAAGUUGUAUUUGUCUGAUAAAAAGCCAUCAAAUAUAUGUUAUGUUAAUAUAAAGUUGGAUUCUUUCCAAACAGAAAACAUAAAAACGUGUAUUUUGUCGUAAUCUUAUAAGAAUCAAGAUGUAUUAUUGGA